UGGGGAAUAUUGCACAAUGGGGGAAACCCUGAUGCAGCGACGCCGCGUGAGCGAAGAAGUAUUUCGGUAUGUAAAGCUCUAUCAGCAGGGAAGAAAAUGACGGUACCUGACUAAGAAGCACCGGCUAAAUACGUGCCAGCAGCCGCGGUAAUACGUAUGGUGCAAGCGUUAUCCGGAUUUACUGGGUGUAAAGGGAGCGUAGACGGCUGUGUAAGUCUGAAGUGAAAGCCCGGGGCUCAACUCCGGGACUGCUUUGGAAACUAUGCAGCUAGAGUGUCGGAGAGGUAAGUGGAAUUCCCAGUGUAGCGGUGAAAUGCGUAGAUAUUGGGAGGAACACCAGUGGCGAAGGCGGCUUACUGGACGAUGACUGACGUUGAGGCUCGAAAGCGUGGGGAGCAAACAGG
rnacentral:rRNA from 1 species